rnacentral:rRNA from 1 species
UACGUAGGUGGCAAGCGUUGUCCGGAAUUAUUGGGCGUAAAGCGCGCGCAGGCGGUCCUUUAAGUCUGAUGUGAAAGCCCACGGCUCAACCGUGGAAGGUCAUUGGAAACUGGGGGACUUGAGUGCAGAAGAGGAAAGUGGAAUUCCAAGUGUAGCGGUGAAAUGCGUAGAGAUUUGGAGGAACACCAGUGGCGAAGGCGACUUUCUGGUCUGUAACUGACACUGAGGCGCGAAAGCGUGGGGAGCAAACAGG